GUCUGUGGUUUUUAUUGAGGUAAUAAUCAUUACAUACAUGAGAAGAUAUAAAGUCAAAAUGUAUAUAGAUUACAUUUGUUUGGUCAUACUAUUUAAAAAAAAAUAAUGUAAUAAGGCUAGGCGUACAUGUGGUAAACUCAUAAGCUAAGUAGACUAGCUAGACAUGGAGUUUGUAGGUAAAUCUAAUAAUUGAGAGCAAAAGACAUGGUAUAAUUUAGUGGUAGAUUAAAACAGAAAUUUAUAUCUAACACAUGUUAGAUAUAGCGGUGUCUGUGGUUGAAAGUAAAUAUAGGCUAAUAGCAUUAACACAUAGGAAAUUUUGAAACAUCAACUGAUAUGAGCCUUGCUGAGGUACAGUGGCUGCAAUUUUGUGGCACAAGACAAAGCCCAGAGUCUUGAUUAGCCCAUGGUGGCUCUGGGUAAAGCACAUUCCUACUGCAGAUCUAUUAACCAGAGAGUCAGCGGCUCUAGCAGGGAGAUGCACGACCGAGGAUCAGAAUGGUCCCAGUAUCGUAUUAUGGUCAGCAGUAGCAGUGUCUCCAACCACCAGUCCAGCAUCAGGCCCCUUUCCUUGGGAGCAUGGUCAGCAGCUAUGGAGACGGUCAGCAGCUAUGUGAUCACCAAAUGGUUGCCAGUGGAACUAUCCUGAGUCUAAGUUUGUAGCCUCGAAAAAUCUGCACCUCAGCAGAGCUAGGAACCACGGGAACCCCAUGGUCAAUUCUCAUGAAGAGUAGUUAUACGUGCAUUGUUUGCAGGAGGAUGUCAGCAACACUGAAAUGUGGACCAAAAAUCAGUGAAUAGCCGGUCUAGGUUUGUCAGCGUAGGAGACAACUGGUCUCUGGGGCUGAGUGGGUGGCUGGUGUCCGCCAUUAUGCAAAGUGUGCCUCACCUGCAGCCUGCUUGCUAACAUAUUCAGCGACAUGGACAGGGGAGGUUAGUGCCGGGAUAACCCUCACCGGUGGAGUGGGGAAAAAGGACCCAGAUAGGGACUGCAGAUUUCAGAGAGUCCAGUGACAGAGGGAUCAGCCACCUACCCCACUCCACUUCAAGUAGGCUGCAAACUCUUCCAAACUCAGCACUGCUUCAGAACUGAGUAGUCUAGAGCCCACAAGAAUCUUGAGUGUCAACAACCAAUGGUAAGUUGGUAGAUGCAGGAAAUAAAUCGAUAAAACCACAUUUUAUUUCUCGGUUUCUUCCGAAGCUCUGUUAAGAUGCGUCCGAUCAGCCUGACGGUCAAGCCCCUCCACCCAAUAGGUAAUUAUUUCAAAAAGAGAUGGUAAAUUUUUGAAAAUAAUUAUAGAAAAAACAUCCAACGGAACAAACAAUGUCACUCUUCCAGUCAAUGACACUCAUAUGAGCAUUUUAAACCCCUUAAGGACACAACUUCUGGAAUAAAGGGAAUCAUGACGGAAUAUUUCCAUCAUGUGUCCUUAAGGGGUUAAGAUAUUACAUUAUACUUUCCUAUAAACCAGAAGAGAAUUGAAAUGAAUGACCAAGUCUAUGCAAUAUUAUGGUCUGCAAUUUGUAAUUCCAUUGACAAUUCUCAACAAUGUCCCCAACCUAGUGAACAAACCCCUUAAUAAAGUAACUAAAGUAAAUAAAAUAUAUAAACAAAUAAUUGACACAAUUUGAACAGAACUAUCCUCAUCAAAUAAGCAAAAUCAGCUUUAGUUUUCAUAAUGGUCUGCUAAGGUGAGUGAACUAGUUCUUAUUUGCCCCCUUUCCC